rnacentral:rRNA from 1 species
GAUGAACGCUGGCGGCGUGCCUAAUACAUGCAAGUCGAGCGAACGGACGAGAAGCUUGCUUUUCUGAUGUUAGCGGCGGACGGGUGAGUAACACGUGGAUAACCUACCUAUAAGACUGGGAUAACUUCGGGAAACCGGAGCUAAUACCGGAUAAUAUUUUGAACCGCAUGGUUCAAAAGUGAAAGACGGUCUUGCUGUCACUUAUAGAUGGUUCCGCGCUGCAUUAGCUAGUUGGUAAGGUAACGGCUUACCAAGGCAACGAUGCAUAGCCGACCUGAGAGGGUGAUCGGCCACACUGGAACUGAGACACGGUCCAGACUCCUACGGGAGGCAGCAGUAGGGAAUCUUCCGCAAUGGGCGAAAGCCUGACGGAGCAACGCCGCGUGAGUGAUGAAGGUCUUCGGAUCGUAAAACUCUGUUAUUAGGGAAGAACAUAUGUGUAAGUAACUGUGCACAUCUUGACGGUACCUAAUCAGAAAGCCACGGCUAACUACGUG